ensembl:misc_RNA
UUGACAGCCCUAGAAACGGAUGUGCUUUAUCUGGCUACACAACAAAUACAGCGUAGGACAAGCUGCCACACUUGGCCCCUCCAGUGGCCUCAAAUCUGACCUGGAGGGACCACCUCUAGCACAGCUCAAUCUUCUUGUCUCAUCAGUCCACAGCCGGU